UCUUAUGGACAAGCAAUGAAAGUGGUUUCUUGAGAUGGAAUCUACUCCUGGUAAAGAUGCUGUGAA
rnacentral:pre_miRNA from 2 species